AUUUUUGUGAAGAAAAAUGAAAUUGAAAAAAGAAAGAAGGACUGGCUGUGGCCCAAAAUGGUGAUAAAUAAUGGUUCUUAUCUACUGCACAUCUCAAGAAGUCACAUCAAAAGGAAAUUGAAACUGUAUGUCCUGGAGGGGAAAUGCAGCGUCACACUGUCUGGCCUAUCAGAUUCAAAGUGCGUCUUCAAUCACACUCUCACAGG